AUUGAACGCUGGCGGCAUGCCUUACACAUGCAAGUCGAACGGCAGCACGGGAGCAAUCCUGGUGGCGAGUGGCGAACGGGUGAGUAAUACAUCGGAACGUGCCCAGUAGUGGGGGAUAGCCCGGCGAAAGCCGGAUUAAUACCGCAUACGACCUGAGGGUGAAAGCGGGGGAUCGCAAGACCUCGCGCUAUUGGAGCGGCCGAUGUCAGAUUAGCUAGUUGGGGGGUAAAGGCCUACCAAGGCUACGAUCUGUAGUUGGUCUGAGAGGACGACCAGCCACACUGGGACUGAGACACGGCCCAGACUCCUACGGGAGGCAGCAGUGGGGAAUUUUGGACAAUGGGGGCAACCCUGAUCCAGCAAUGCCGCGUGC
rnacentral:rRNA from 1 species